GAUGAACGCUGGCGGCGUGCCUAAUACAUGCAAGUCGAGCGAACAGAUAAGGAGCUUGCUCCUUUGAAGUUAGCGGCGGACGGGUGAGUAACACGUGGGUAACCUACCUAUAAGACUGGGAUAACUUCGGGAAACCGGAGCUAAUACCGGAUAACAUUUAGAACCGCAUGGUUCUAAAGUGAAAGAUGGUUUUGCUAUCACUUAUAGAUGGACCCGCGCCGUAUUAGCUAGUUGGUAAGGUAACGGCUUACCAAGGCGACGAUACGUAGCCGACCUGAGAGGGUGAUCGGCCACACUGGAACUGAGACACGGUCCAGACUCCUACGGGAGGCAGCAGUAGGGAAUCUUCCGCAAUGGGCGAAAGCCUGACGGAGCAACGCCGCGUGAGUGAUGAAGGGUUUCGGCUCGUAAAACUCUGUUAUUAGGGAAGAACAAAUGUGUAAGUAACUGUGCACAUCUUGACGGUACCUAAUCAGAAAGCCACGGCUAACUACGUGCCAGCAGCCGCGGUAAUACGUAGGUGGCAAGCGUUAUCCGGAAUUAUUGGGCGUAAAGCGCGCGUAGGCGGUUUCUUAAGUCUGAUGUGAAAGCCCACGGCUCAACCGUGGAGGGUCAUUGGAAACUGGGAAACUUGAGUGCAGAAGAGGAAAGUGGAAUUCCAUGUGUAGCGGUGAAAUGCGCAGAGAUAUGGAGGAACACCAGUGGCGAAGGCGACUUUCUGGUCUGUAACUGACGCUGAUGUGCGAAAGCGUGGGGAUCAAACAGGAUUAGAUACCCUGGUAGUCCACGCCGUAAACGAUGAGUGCUAAGUGUUAGGGGGGUUUCCGCCCCUUAGUGCUGCAGCUAACGCAUUACGCACUCCGCCUGGGGAGUACGACCGCAAGGUUGAAACUCAAAGGAAUUGACGGGGACCCGCACAAGCGGUGGAGCAUGUGGUUUAAUUCGAAGCAACGCGAAGAACCUUACCAAAUCUUGACAUCCUUUGAAAACUCUAGAGAUAGAGCCUUCCCCUUCGGGGGACAAAGUGACAGGUGGUGCAUGGUUGUCGUCAGCUCGUGUCGUGAGAUGUUGGGUUAAGUCCCGCAACGAGCGCAACCCUUAAGCUUAGUUGCCAUCAUUAAGUUGGGCACUCUAGGUUGACUGCCGGUGACAAACCGGAGGAAGGUGGGGAUGACGUCAAAUCAUCAUGCCCCUUAUGAUUUGGGCUACACACGUGCUACAAUGGACAAUACAAAGGGCAGCUAAACCGCGAGGUCAUGCAAAUCCCAUAAAGUUGUUCUCAGUUCGGAUUGUAGUCUGCAACUCGACUACAUGAAGCUGGAAUCGCUAGUAAUCGUAGGUCAGCAUGCUACGGUGAAUACGUUCCCGGGUCU
rnacentral:rRNA from 1 species